UUUUGGGGUCUCAUCCUUCCAAUACCAGCUCAGCGAGUUGGGUUGCCUAGUGUGGGAAAUAGUCCCUUCACUCCUCAAAAGAGAACUACACAUUUUGGGGAUCCUUCCCAGUUGUGGGGUAGCUACGUCAGCAGUGGGGUCCAGAGCAAGGUCAUGUCUUUGCCUCUUUUAUUCUUCUUAGUGCAUCUCUUGUCUUUUGUUGUGAAUAUAUUGAAUUGUUGUAAAUACAUUGUUCAUCUAAUUCUCUAGUUCCUCCUUUUCAGAGGAAAGGUAUACUAUAAUUUUCCUUACAAGCUGUUAAGUUUGUUGUGUUCCUGAGAAGAGGUAAGUUCAGGGUUAUCCUACACCACCAUCUUGGAUCCCUUCCUCCCUAAUUUUACUGGUCCUCUUUUUUAUCCAAAACCUGGUGAUCCUAAUGAAAAAGCACAACAAUAAUGGCUGUAAUAAUUCAGUUAUCAAAGGCAGCCUUCAAAUGCCAGUUAGUUUGCAGUGCUGAUCAUGAGUUCUUAAAUAGAGAUACAUUUGGUUAACAAGGUUGAAACAUAAAAGCAACCCCUUAUCAUUUAAAUUCAUCAAAUUUAGUGUCAAAAAACAAUAAUAUUUGCCUAGCCUGUGUUUUUCCUCUAUACCACCUUAAGUUUUCCAUCAGCCAUGUAAGGGAGGUACAUGAGAAAUCUAGAUGCCCCACUGAUCCUUAAAAUUCAGAAUAGCUAAAAGAAAAGGACUGAUCUCCCCCACUCAUCCCAAUAAUCAGUAAUAAACCUAAAUGAAAACAAUUAGUAACAAUAAAUUAUCUAUUAAAGUCCAUGUUAAUAAUUAAGCAUUUCUGUAUCUAAUGGACAAAAAUAUCUGGAUAUUGGGGUAAAUUUAAGCUGAAUAAAUAUACUUUUUAAAAAUGCUUUCCAUGUAAAACAAAAACCUAUUUUUCUAGACUAAAAUAUAUAACUAUGUAAAAUAAAAAUUAUUCCUAGCUAUUUAUUCCAUGUUGUUUAGCAGCCACAAUUACGCUUUUCAACAUUGUAUGUAAGAAAGGUUUUUAAGCUUUUCAAGUGGAAUAAGCCCAGAGACUCCUGGGAAUGUAAUUAUCUGGUUUGUUUUGAAUCAGACUGUGUACAGUUAGUCUAGUGUUUUAAUAAGGUCUCUAAGGAUUAGAAUCAGUCAACAUAUGAAUUAUGAAACUUCUAGUCAAUCUGAAGUACAGAAAAAAAGGCUAAAUCAUGUAGGAAAUUGGGUGUCCCUACAGGACUGUGAUAUGUUAGUUACAAGUGAGUAUAGGUUUGAAAACUAGGAAAUGUAAAAUUCAAUCAGGAAAGGUCACUGAAGGGAAAAAAGUAUCAUAUACUUCUCAACUUGUAAACUUCCCCAACAGAAGCAGAUAGGUAUUUAUCUACUAUAGCUAACAAAGUGGAAAGAAGUGUUAUUGCAGUUUUGACAAACCCAGGUAACUUUAAAAUGUGAUCUCUAAGUUUAUCUAAUUUAAAAAGAAAAUUAUCACCAUUCUCUGCCUAAGAAAUUGGCCAUAUAUAUUUUAGUGAAUUUUUUUUCCAUCAUUUGCAACUUUUGGUAUUUCACAUUUUAAAUUGAUUAUAAUCAAUGUAUUUAUUUCUAGAUGACUUUUUUCUAAUCAAACUCUGAAAAUGUUUUUAUUAAAAAAAAAAAAAACCCAGUUGGACAGAAGUCCACAGACCCAAAAUAAAGGAAAAAAAGAAGAAAGUCAAGGAAAUAAUGUAUUUUGAUGGAGCAAACAAAUCCAAAUUUGAGACAAUAGAAAAGUUCUCAAAAGAAUUUAACCCCACUGUUGAUUCAGAGAUAGCUUACUGAUAGAAUUAAUCUAUCUCCCUGGAAACUGUACUAGAGAAAUCUACCUAUAAAAAGGCCAAAGUGAUUUUGAGAAUCCUUGAUAAAGCAACACUGUGGUAUAGUUUUAACUAGUGCUAUGUCAACAGCAUGUAGUUUAGGGAAAGGUCUUUAAUUAGCUGAUAAGUAAAUCGCUUCUGAUAAAUUCAUUUUAAAAUCUAGCUCCAUCCGACUAUCUUUCCUAUAGUUCUUACCUAUUAGUCUUCCCCUAUUAAUUUCCCUUCUGAGAUGAGAAUGUGAUGACUGGUUCAUGAACAUCAUUGUUUGGCAACCAUGUUUCUGAUCGUGAUUUAUGAAACCUAUUUUCUAUUAUAAUCAGUUCCAUGUGAGCUUGGAUGAGUCCAGAAACUACAUUAUCUCUGUCAAGACUCUGGGCUAUCCGAGUGGGAGACCAGGCCCUGGAACAGAAGUAGCCACACAGCCUGGCUUCCAUUCUACAGGGAUCCAAAUGGGAGUGUCUAUCUCAAACAACAGUGCUGGGGUCAUAAUCUGCACUGUAUCUGUAAGCGGAUUCAGGGCCCAAUUCCCAUUAGAACUAACCACAGAUAUUUCUACUACCAUAUUAAUUUAUGUAAAUUAUACAAAAUGUCUGAAAACACAGCAGCCAAGCUAAUGGCUCCAAAAAGUAUCCUAGGGGCGCUUGGCUGGCUCAGUCAGUAGAGCAUGCAACUCUUGAUCUCAGGGUUUUAAGUUCAAGUGCACAUUGGGUAUAGAGAUUACUUGAAAAUAAAAAAAAAUAUGGGCAUGUGGGUGGUUCUACUGGCUGUGUCUGACUCUUGAUCUCAGCACAGGUCUUGAUCUCAGGGCUGUGAGUUCAAGACCUGCGUCUGGGCUCCACCUUGGGCAUGGAGCUUACUUAAAAAAUAAAUAAAAUUAAACUAAAUUAAUAAGAGGUAUUCUAAAAGCCCAAAAUACAAAUUGCCUGAACUUGAGUAUGGUUCAAUUAGGUGAGCAGAAGGGCUCUUGAAGGAGAUCUAGCACUCUAAGUGUGAACAGCCUUUGUGUGAUUAUAUUGUGUUAGGUUUAAAGUCCAAAUACUUUAAGUGGAGGUGGGGAGAGGAUAUUGUAUCAUUUUCUGACUCAGGUAUUUUGAGUACCACAAUUUUAUUUUAUAUUCUAUCACAUUAUCUUAACAAGUCUUUUCAUUGAAUGGAAAAAUAAUUUGUCUAUACUCAGCUUUAACAGUAAAAACGUGAACUUUGGAGAAUAUGAAAUACAGAGAGAAAUCAAGUUUAUUAUAUAAACAAAGGGUAUGCAAAUAAUAUUCAUUUUGCCACCGGGAGUGUAAUAAUGGAAAAAGUAAUCAUUGAUUAUUUAUUAGAUUAAAUGACAGUUUAGGCAGGAAUUUUUUGUAGUUUACCCAAAAUUAAAGAAUAUAUUAAGGGGAUGCCUGGGUGGUGGAGUUGGUUUAAUGUCCGACUCUUGGUUUCCACUUGAGUUGUGUUCUCAGGGUCAUGGAAUCAAGACCAGAAUUAGGCUCCAGGUUCAGCAUGGGGUCUGCUUGGGAUUGUCUCUCCCUCUCUCUAUGCCCCUCCCUCCCCUCUAAAAUAAGUAAAAAAAAAAAAAAAAAAAAAAAAAAAAGCAUCAAGGACAUUUUUAGAUUUAUUAUCUUUAAUGAACUAUGUUUAACAUUUUACAAAUCUUCAGAUUGUUACAGUUUUCAGCAGUAAAUAUAGUAAUAAUGGCAAUAAAUACAGUGAAAUGUGAGAUUCCUCUGUUGAAAUACAAAAGAUAGAAAUACUUAAAAACAAGAGGGCAAUACGUCAACUUAGGGUCUGAGAUGGAAAUCAGCAUGGUCAAAUUCUUUACGGUGCCAAUACAUGGGUGAACGCAGGACUCAUUCCCUACAAGUGAAUACGAACUUUGAGCUUCACCUUUGUGGGAAGUUUUGAGGGACAGUAUUUGACCCACGGAUUCCUAAAACUCUGUAUGUAUUGAUAUCAGAGGAUCCAAACACAGAAAGUGAUCUGAAAAUGAUUGCCAAAGCAAAGAAGUGCUUUUAUUCCUCAACAUUUGUGACCUUCGUGGUAUACUGCAUAUUAUAAAAGGGCGUAAACCCUAUACAACUGCAUAAAUGCCAUAAAAAUUGAUUUUAUAAAGUCUCAAGAUCAUAAUAUGUAUUCAAAAAUACAUAUAGCUGUGCUUUAGUAAACGAAUCCAUCAGUUAAUUGAGGGAUAAUUUUGCUUUUAAGAUAUAUCCAAAGUAUAUACAAAGGAUCCACAAAUGUUAACAAUUUGUGAUCAAAAUUCCCAAGAGUUACAUUUGCAAAAAACUGUUGGUUUUCCAUUUAAAAAUUUAAGAAAGUUGUGAAUACCGUCGGCUUAUUAUUACUUGGGUUAAGAAAAAGUAGAUGGCUUCAGCUUUUUAACAGGAAAUUUGUGAACUACUCACAAACGAGAAGUUACACAUUUUUGAUCAUUAAAAAAGGUAAAUUGCCGAUACUUCCCCAUUGAGAACAGAAUGUGCAGCGUAUAAAAGAAAGUAAGAUUUUCUCCUGAAACCAAAAAAAUUUCUAGCAAAGACCCUGGGGAUACAUCUUCUCGUUUCCUUUAUAGGAGAAUGAGUACGUGGCAUAGUUGAACGGUAUACCCUUCUAUCGUGUGUAUUCCAUUACCGAGCUAAAAGGUGGAACAGUUUUAUUUAAAGGUGGGGAAAAUAUAAACUUAAUAUAUCGAAGUACAACAUUUUACUCUAUAGUUUCUAGCUUCAUUCCACCAUAAUUCAUCAAUAUAAACUGGAUCCAAAAAAAAAAAAAAAAAAAA
rnacentral:lncRNA from 1 species